rnacentral:rRNA from 1 species
CAGUGGGGAAUAUUGGACAAUGGGCGAAAGCCUGAUCCAGCCAUGUCGCAUGAGUGAAGAAGGCCUUUGGGUUGUAAAGCUCUUUUAGUGAGGAAGAUAAUGACGGUACUCACAGAAGAAGUCCUGGCUAACUCCGUGCCAGCAGCCGCGGUAAUACGGAGAGGGCUAGCGUUAUUCGGAAUUAUUGGGCGUAAAGGGCGCGUAGGCUGAUUAAUAAGUUAAAAGUGAAAUCCCGAGGCUUAACCUUGGAAUUGCUUUUAAAACUAUUAAUCUAGAGAUUGAAAGGGGAUAGAGGAAUUCCUGAUGUAGAGGUAAAAUUCGUAAAUAUUAGGAGGAACACCAGUGGCGAAGGCAUCUAUCUGGUUCAAAUCUGACGCUGAGGCGCGAAGGCGUGGGGAGCAAACAGGAUUAGAUACCCUGGUAGUCCACGCUGUAAACGAUGAAUGUUAAAUAUGGGAAGUUUACUUUCUGUAUUACAGCUAACGCGUUAAACAUUCCGCCUGGGGACUACGGUCGCAAGAUUAAAACUCAAUGA